rnacentral:lncRNA from 1 species
UUUGUAUUCCUUAUAAAAUGGGAUUGUUAAACUCUCUCUCUCCUGGUCAUCAAAGCCUGAAGCAUAUUUUCUGGCUUCAGGUGAGACAGGCUGCUCAGGCAUUUUAUUAUAACGUGUGUGUGUCCACUUAGCAUUAGUAUGAGGUGGCUUCUUGCCUUGUGAGUAUGGAAGCUAUCAGCAGCCUGGAUUCUCAGAUUUUAUUUCUUCUUCUUAAGAUCAUCUUUCUCAAGAUGUUUUCUGUCUUCAUGAGUCAAAAUUUGAAGAGGAAAGGAUGGUGGCUGGGUGGUUGACAAAUUACUCUCAGGUAAGUAGGAAAUUGCUUUUUCUGUAGAAGCAUAUGCUUCUUCCUACCAUGUAGAUGUGUUUUCUCCUAGUGGAACAGGGCCCCUGCAAGCAAAGAGGGUCUGCUUAGGGACCACAUCUCUCAUCAAACUUCUUCGGACCACAGGGCCUCUCACAUGGUUGACAGGUUUCACAGGGAAAUGAUUGUACUAUCCCACUGUUUACUAAUUCAGUCUGACUGUCAUCCAUGCUGAUAUGCUUUCAUUUUGCUGUGAUAGGGAGAGAAUGCACAUGUGCUUCUCGGAAUUUGUGCUGUCACUGGAGCAUUUAUUUGAGUGUCUAUAAUGUAUUCAGGGUUGUGCUAAAACCUGUCAGUAGAGAACAAUAAGAAGAAGUCACAAUCUAGUUGUGCUGAGAUAUAUUCAGUUAGGUGAAAGAGGUGCUCUUCAAGCCAUAUGACUAGAUGAGAUCACCGGUGAAUAUGUACAGACAGGGGAGAAGAAAGUGAGGACCAUCAAGUGAUAGGAGACCAAAGAGUCUUGUCAAGGCAUGCCAAGACAAGGUCCCUCAUUCUCCAGUCAACAUAGUGGAGAACGUACUUGCCUGACGCCAGCAUGUGUGUGAUGGUUUAGGACUCAGUGACCUUUGAGGAUGUGGCUGUGGACUUCACCCAGGAGGAGUGGACUUUGCUGGAUCAAACUCAGAGAAACUUAUACAGAGAUGUGAUGCUGGAGAACUAUAAGAAUCUAGUUGCAGUAGAUUGGGAGAGUCAUAUUAAUACCAAAUGGUCAGCACCUCAGCAGAAUUUUUUGCAGGGGAAAACAUCCAGUGUGGUGGAAAUGGUAAGAUUCAGAAGGUAUAAUUUAUUGUCUUCCAUGUUAGAGGAAGAUUGGAAAUUCCUUAAAAUGGAAAAGCAGCACAAUAACCUUGAGACAUUUGAGACUAGUGUUUUUCACCCAAAAAUAAUCUGUCUCUUGGAGAGACUAUGGAUCAUGAGUUUGACAAACACUCUAAACAUCCCUCAGAAUAUAUUUGUUUACAUAUUUCCUUCAACAUUCCCAUAUGUAUCUCAGAUGUUUUUGAUAAAUAAUUCACUCUUGGGCCGUUAUCAGCUAAGCUCUAUUUAGAAGCCCUCUGAAAGUAAAGAAUAUAACAGAACUUCCUGCAGUCACUUUGUUCCACUUGAAAACACUCAGGUCUGAACCAUGCCUUGCAAUGAAAAUGGCAGGAACAAACAGUUUCAAUUAUACUAACUUAUUUUCCAUGUGUAACAGAAUUCAGAGUAAAAGGGAGAAUCUCAAUGAAAUAAAUUUGGAAAACUUCUAUGAACCAUCAUUAAUUUUCACCAACAGGAGAGAAACCAUUUUGGAGAGGAACUGUUUGACUUUAACCAAUGUGAAAAAGCCUUGAGUGAACACUCAUGCCUUAAGACUCACAGGAGAACUUACUUUAGAAAGAAAACCUGUGAGUGUAAUCAAUGUGAAAAAGCCUUCAGAAAACCCUCUAUCUUUACUUUACACAAGAAAACUGAUAUCGGAGAGGAACUUCCUAACUGUAAUCAAUGUGAAACAGCCUUCAGCCAACAUCUACAUCUUGUUUGCAAGAAAACUAGCC